rnacentral:lncRNA from 1 species
UUUCACCAGAACCUCUGAAGUUUUCUCACUUCCGCUCGUUUGUGUGUCUUGUUUUCUUGUGCUUUUGGGCGAGUACUCUUUUCCUUUACUGAAGUUUUUCCCUUGGGGUUUUGUUUAGUAAGGUUUUAAUGAGGCUUGGCCCCUAGUUUGAUUGCUUGUGCUCUUAGGAAUUUUUUGGUUCUAUUUUUUUUUUCAUUUUUUAAUAAAGCUCCAUUUUAGCAAUGAUAAUUAAUUGUAUUGUGAGUGAAGUUUAGGGCCCUACACCAUGUGAUAGAAACUUUUCAAAAGUAGAAAGAGACUUGUUAGGUCCCGAAAGGUCUA